CCUGCACUGCCCUCAGCACUGCCCCCUGCACCGUCCCUGCGCCUCUGCGUGUUGGCUCACCUUCGCUGCCCCGGACCCAGCACUAGGCCCGCUGGCGAUGCAGUCACAGGGAGUUGUGGCCAGGAGCCGGGAGAGGGGCAGGGGCUCGGGCUUGGUGCUCCCAUGUGGCUGGAUGGCACGGAGCAGCGGGCAUAGGAGGAGGGGACAGAGCUCGUGUGGGGACGGGGCCACGCAAGGGUGAGGCCGGGGCCCGGGCGGGGUCACUGGUGAAGCUGGGACGGGGCAGCUGUGGGCAAGUGUCCCAGGAGAGCCGGGGGUGUCCUGGGCUUGGUGGGGCCCGGGAGGGGAGAGGCUGGCCUGCAGCGUGGUCAGGUGGAGCACAGGCGGGAGGAGCGUGUGGGGCUAGGGGGAGGGUUAGCUCCCUCUGCAUCUCCCGGUUUGGUAGGAGAUGAUCUCCUCUGGGCAAGAUGGACCUGUAGGGCCAAGCUUGAAGCUGGUGGACUGACGGGACACGUAUCAGACGCUGCCGCAUUCGGGGCCUACUGUGUGCCAGGGAAGCGCAGACAUGAAGAAACAGCCCAGAGCGCAGGGCCCACAUGUCGUGAGGAAAGACGGACGCGGUCAGUAGCUAUCACACAUGGUUCUCACAGCCUGAUGGUGCCUUGGAAAUCCAGUGUGGCCAACAGGGGCCGUCCCCACGCCCAUGGUCCCUGCUCAGAAUGCUGUGUUGUGUGUGAGACCAUCUGCAAAGAAAACUGGGACCGGUUGGUCUGGGCUGCCUACACAGCGUACUAGGAACAGCGUGGGGGUGCCAGCCACCCACAGGACCAUCCAUCCAUCCAUCCAUCCACACAUCUGCAGAGGUCAUGUCACGUCCCCAGACGCUGUACCGGCCUUUGGGAACUACAGCAACAAACGGCACCCUGUCUACCCUCGAGCUUCUGGUGUAAGGCCAAGCCUCCAGCCCAGAGAAGAGAGAGGAGAGGUCCUCCGAUCAAGAAACCACUGGGGAAAGCUUUUAAAAAUGCAAUUAAAUAGAAAAUAAUUAAACCCAAUUAAACAUCAGCCACGGGGGAGUUCUGGGGGCUUCCCUGUGAGAGCCCAGGCUGCCUCCACGCUGUCUUGGCAACGCUCCCCGUGCUGAGGAGUGGGGCUUUUAAGGUGCAAUGAAGAAGGCCGGGCACCCGCCAAGACCCUCAGGGCCCAGACACUGCGCCCCUUGGACCCGCCAUCCUUCCCCACCCCCAGAGCCCCCCAGGCCCGCUCCCUUCGUCCUUUGGGCUGCCUGGUGAGCCUCACUCUUGCCAAACGCCAAAUGCCCUCAGUCAGGGCUGCCACCAACCCACCCAGGCCCUUCUCCACGCGACCUGCCGGCUCCAGCCUGUCCCGGAUGGUGGACUUUGGACUGAAUUUACAGCAAGCCCAGGCCAUCGUGGGGGGGGCUGGUGGUUGUGGUCCAGUGACCCUAGACAGUAGGCCUGGCCCAAGGCUGCACAGGGAGCCUGAGGCAGGGGGACGGAGUGUGGUGGAGGGUUCUCAGGCCAGAAUGUGGGGGGAGGUGAGGGGGGGGACGAGUUUGCUGGGACGGGCUUCCUCCCCUGAAGCAUCCAUUAUCAUGUGUGGCCACAGCUGCUGCCCGGUGGGGACUGAAUUCUGGGCUGACAGUCCCCUGAGGCUCUCUCUCCAGGGUCCAGCGCCAAGCAGCUGUGUCGGUGAGACUGCGUUGCUCAGGGCUGUCAGCAGAACAGGCCUUGGGAGGAGCAGCUCUGCCAGUCACCUGCACUCUGUCCAGGAGCAGCUCCUAGUCCUCGGGGCUUGGAUGAAAAUGCCAUAGAGGGGACUAAGGGAGCCUGUCUGCCCCCAGGUAAUGUUCCAAGGUCAUCACUGGCCAGAAAUUCCCUUCUUGGAGGGAGGCAGUGUCUGGAAAAAGCAUCCUUUCUAUUAAACAAAAAAAUAAUGUUAAAUGGAGAUGAAGAGCGGACAGCAAGGACAAAAAAGCCAACAACCUGCCCUCCAGGAAACCCAUCGAAAUGUCCCCUCUGUUCCUGACCCCCGGGGGCCUCAGUGUCCCAUCUCCCAGAGACAGCCGUGCACAGGCAAGAACCUGGGUGACUGUGUGGUGUCACAGGAUACUCACCUGAGUGUGUGUGCAAGUCACCUGCCAACGAGCGUGUCUGUGCCUUCCAUCCCGUCCCCGCCUCUAGGGCAGCGGUUGACAGUACCGUGCGUCCUGGCUGUCGCCUGAACUGCAAUCACCCAGGGAAAGAAGUCCAGCCCCAUCCCAGAGAUCCUGAGCCCACUCAGGAGGUAUCUAGGCAGGAAUCUUCCCAUUUUUGUCCUCAGAUGAUUUUAGUAUUCAGCCAGUGCUGAAAACUCUGGCUAGAAUCCGGUGCAAAGCCUUGCCGCUUU